UUGUGAUAUGAUUAAUAUAAUAGCUAUAAACUGCUAAAUUAUUAUUUUUUUAAGUUUUAGAGAUGUUUUGGUAACACUUUACAAUAAGGUUCAUUAGCUAACAUUAGUUUACUACAUAAGUUAAAAUAAACUAAUAAUGAACUGCAUGUAUACAGCAUUUAUUUAUCUUUGUUAAUGUUCAUUUUUAACAAUUACUUGUACUUUAUUAAAAUCUUGUUAACGUUAGUUAAUGCACUGGGAACUAACAUAAAACAAUAAAAAGCUUUAUUUCAAAUAUCUAACAUUAACAAAGACUAAUAAAUACUGUAACAAAUGUAUUGCUAAUGGUUAGUUCAUGUUAGUUAAUACAUUAACUAAUGUUAACUAAUGAACCUCAUUGUAAAGUGUUACCAAUGUGUUUCCUUCAACCCAGCACUUGGUCAAAUACUGUUGGGUUAUAAAUAAACCGCUGGGUAAAUUCAACACCAAUUUAGCAUAGUCCACUUAUAACCUAACAGUUGGGCUUGUACGUAUUUGACCAAACAUUUUUUUAUGGAUAAUAAUUGUACCAUAUUUUUAUCACAAAGACAGUCUAAUUCUGCUGAUUGUUGGCAUAUCCCUGGGAGUGUUGUGUUUUAUCAUCUUCAUUCUCAUUUUAUUCAUCUUUUUAAGGAGACAAACAAAACACAGUCAAAAACCUGGAGACAUCCCAAUACAUAAAAUUAG